CGGCUCGAAGCUCAGUCCGGUUGUGAGCAAUCGGUUGAUAACCGAUAGGUCGUUGGUUCAAAUCCAACCGAGCCGACCA
rnacentral:tRNA from 1 species